UGUGGGAGCGGGCUUGCCCGCGAUGAGGGAGUGUCAGUCGAAAUCAUAUUGACUGAUCCACCGCUAUCGCGGGCAAGCCCGCUCCCACA
rnacentral:misc_RNA from 1 species